GAGUUUGAUCUUGGCUCAGAUUGAACGCUGGCGGCAUGCCUUACACAUGCAAGUCGAACGGCAGCAUGAUCUAGCUUGCUAGAUUGAUGGCGAGUGGCGAACGGGUGAGUAAUACAUCGGAACGUGCCCUGUAGUGGGGGAUAACUAGUCGAAAGAUUAGCUAAUACCGCAUACGACCUGAGGGUGAAAGUGGGGGACCGCAAGGCCUCAUGCUAUAGGAGCGGCCGAUGUCUGAUUAGCUAGUUGGUGGGGUAAAGGCCCACCAAGGCGACGAUCAGUAGCUGGUCUGAGAGGACGAUCAGCCACACUGGGACUGAGACACGGCCCAGACUCCUACGGGAGGCAGCAGUGGGGAAUUUUGGACAAUGGGCGAAAGCCUGAUCCAGCAAUGCCGCGUGUGUGAAGAA
rnacentral:rRNA from 1 species